AUGUGGCCACUGGGCACCUGCUCCAGGAUUCUCAGCACCAUUCAUAAAGAUGUCAGCCGCCUCUCUCCUCCCCUUUUGGCCCUUCACAAAACCCACGUUCCUGUGUACCUUAAACAGUAGCCAGCCUGUUAAGGCUCCAAAUCAAGCAAGGCGGGAUUUCACUCCUUUCUCACUCAACCUCCCACAAGUGGAGCUGGUGUGCCUGUGUCCUCAGCUUCUCUCCCUAACCCUCCCUCUCUCUCUCCAUCCAUCAAGAAUGCUGCUCUGGGAGGAGAAUAUUCUCAGAGGCUCAGCCAACUGCAGCCCUAAACCUAUGUGAAGGGCCUCUGGAUCCAUCUAAAGACUCCUGUGUGUCCUGGGGUGAAUGCAUUUAACCAUGAGACUUGGUCCAGAGGAAAGAAGUUGCCCACACGUGCAGGUCCCCACUAGCUUCUGUCAACCUCUGCCCCGCACAACACCACAGGAUAAUGGGGUGAUGGGCUGGAGCCCCAGCCUUAGAGACAGCAUACCAGCCGGUCACUGUGGGAUUCACAGGGAGCAGGGCCAGCCAAGCACCAGAGUCUGCAUUCUCCUUGAUUGCAUCUGGGCUCUGCAAACCCCAACAGAA